CGGGGUGCAGCAGGCGCGAAAACUUUACAAUGCUGGCAACAGCGAUAAGGGGACCUCGAGUGCCAGGAUACAAUCUUGGCUGUCGUGAUGCCUAAAAAGCAUUACAUAGCAAGGGCCGGGCAAGACCGGUGCCAGCCGCCGCGGUAACACCGGCGGCUCGAGUGGUAACCGCUAUUAUUGGGUCUAAAGGGUCUGUAGCCGGCCGGAUAAGUCUCUUGGGAAAUCCAGCAGCUCAACUGUUGGGCUUCCAGGGGAUACUGUUCGGCUCGAGGCCGGGAGAGGUGAGAGGUACUUCAGGGGUAGGGGUGAAAUCUUGUAAUCCUUGAAGGACCACCAGUGGCGAAGGCGUCUCACCAGAACGGUCCUGACGGCAAGGGACGAAAGCUAGGGGCACGAACCGGAUUAGAUACCCGGGUAGUCCUAGCCGUAAACGAUACUCGCUAGGUGUCAGCCACGGUGCGACCGUGGUUGGUGCCGUAGGGAAGCCGUGAAGCGAGCCACCUGGGAAGUACGGCCGCAAGGCUGAAACUUAAAGGAAUUGG
rnacentral:rRNA from 1 species